CGUGUCAUAAGCGUUCUCUUUGAUCAAUUAGAAAACAUGUAAAAAGCGUUACUUUAGUAAAUUAAUCAAGCAACGCUUAUGGUCUUCAUAUAUUACCCUUUACGAAGGAUGCUUUUAAUUUUUUAAUAGACUUCUCAUUAUAAUCGUUGCCUAAAAUAAUUCAAUAUUUUCUUUUAAAAUUUUACGCUUCCCUCUAAAUAUUUUAAGCAGCACAGCAUACAUUCAUCACCUGGUUCACUCCUGUUACUAAAUCGUGAUACUCUUCUUUCUUCUUCUCUGUUGUCCUUGUUGUUGUUUUCUCUUUUUGCUGCUGCUGUUGUUAUUGUGGUUUGAGGAGCGAAAUUCGAUCUCAUAUGCUUUGUUCAUGUUGUGGCUCGCUUCGAUUUACCUCAUUUGUUACCGAAUUCAGUGAUUUCUUCACCGCCGUUAGGGAUCGAGCCUUCGAGUUUGUCCUGGAAGGUUCUUUCGAGUGGAUGCGCCAGCUCCAUGGAGGCUUGCUCGGGCGGCGCGUGAGUUUCAUGGUUGAUUGCGGAGGCGCGUUGGUCUCCGAUCUCUCCCAGACGAACGCUUGGACGGCGUUCAUAAUCAAAAUCAUGAAUAACCUAAAUCCCUAACCCCAACCCUAACACAAUUUCCCCAAUUUCACAACACUGAUGUGCGCAUUCUGCAUUUCUCUCUGCUCUGCCGAGUUCUGCUCUACUCCGCCGUGUUCUUCUGCUCCGCUGUGUUCUUCUCCUCGCAUCGAGUUCUGCUUUGCUCCACCAUGUUCUUCUGCUCGCGCCAAGAAAUUUCAUGUAACUCAAUUAGAUUACAGUAAGGCCAUCUGCAGAUAAAUGUGAGGCAGAGUUGUUAAGCAAGAAAUAUGAGGAGAAGUACAAACAUUGUAGCGGAAAUAACAUCCAAAUUGAUUGUUGAAGAAGCUAAAUUUCGUGAUAUACAGGUAAUUAGAAAUUUGCAUUAUUAUUUGGCAAGUAGUAAAAGGAAUUUAGGGAAGAAUGAAUUGUUAUUAGCCUUGCUUAAUGGAUGUAAAGGUAAUUAUAAAGGUAAGAAGAAUGAGAUUUUGCAGCGGAAAAGGAGAGAAGAAAAGGAUUUUUCUGUGGUCUGAGGUUCUUCUUGUGAGAAUUUUGCUCCUACUUAAUGGGUCUACUUAAAGAGCUUUUGUUUUUAGUAAUUGACUGUGUGGGAUUGGCUUGGUUUUUUCUAGUUUUGAAAUUUUGCUAAAAAUAAGCUUUCUUCAGCUGAUUUUUGUCCUCCACCCCCGGAAGGUAUGUUAUGUAUACACUCUUGUUUGCAUAUUCUUCCUUGUUCAUCUCCCUUUCUAUUCUCCACUGUUUUGGAGCUAGUUAUUGUUGCGUACCAGUGUUAAGGGGGGUGAAAAUGCUAUUCUCUUUUAGAUCUUGAUGGACUUUGGUUGCUGAGAAUUUUGUGUAUAUAAUCAUAUGGUUACAGGAGAAAAGAGGGACUGCACGGGGAUUCAGUUUAAGCCACCUGGGUGUUGGGUUCCACUUCCAUGGUUGAAGGUGGUCAAGUUAGCCAUCUUCACAUGCUUCUUGUGUUCUGCACUCUUCCUCUUAGUUGUCUUUUUUUGUCUUUACCUUUAUUUCAGUCAAUUCUUUUACUUUCACAAUUAAACUUUAUUAAUACCUACAAUUUUCCAGAUCUUAACUCUCAAUAUCUAUUUACUUUGGUAUUCUUCAACUAAAUGACUUUAUCUAUUAAUACCUACAAUUAAACUUAAUGUCAUUUCCAAAACAGUUUGUGAAAACAAGUUUUUGAAUAAAUAAUAUAUCUAUAAACUAUCUAAACAAAAUUAACUUUAUUUAUUACUUUUCUUUUUGGGGUGUCAAGAAACAAAAUUAACUUUUAAUAACAUCACUUUAGAAAUAGUGAGGAAUUAAUGGGAAUUGGGGAUGGUAUUUGUCGCCAAAAAAGAUAGUGCAAUUCUCAAAGUCUUAGAAGUCAUUUAUUAAAAAGAAAUCUUAACAAAACAUUAUUGUUCUUUCAUAGGCAUGCGUCGGUUUGCUUAGGUUAUGCAAUAGCCGUUAACUAGGGAAGGUCAUUUCGAAAUAGUCUUGGAGAAAAGCAUAUGAUUUUAUAACAUAUGAAUGAUUUUGAUGGACUUUCAUAUGGUUACUUGAGGGCCUUUGGUUACAAGAGAAAAACGCGUUUUGGAUUCAGAACUUUGGCAUGCAUGUGCUGGUCCCCUUGUUUCUUUACCAGCUGUUGGAAGCUGAGUUGUGUACUUUUCACAAGGUCACAGUGAACAGAAGCAUGCAAAUUGCUGAGGCUCUCCAAAUGCAAAUGGAGGUGUAGAAGAAACUUUAUGAGCAAAUUGAGGUGCAGAGACAUUUGCAGCUUAAGAUUGAAGCACAAGGGAAGUACUUGCAAUCAAUACUACACAAGGCACAAGAAACACUUGCAGGAAUGAUCAACAAUGGCAGCCCGGGAUCUCCUCCGAUUUCGGAACUGACAGAAACAAGAGGAGGGUUCAGUGGGAGCUGUGGGCAGAGGAAACAGAACAGAGGAGCCAUGUAUUCACUUGAAAUUUAAAGUUCUUUGACAUCUUCUGAAAGCUCAAUGGAUCAAAGGCCUAAUAGUACUAACACCACUAAUACUGCUUCACUUGAAUUGUUGCCACUCUUCAAAGAAUCUAAGGAACAAUAAGAUGAAUCUAUUAUUAGGAGAAAGAGGAGUUCAAGUUGCUUUGUUGAUCAGCCAUCAUAGAUGAUCAGAUCUGAAUUAUUAUAUAAAGUUGUGUUCUUCCAAGGAUGCCAGCUUCUCGUCAUCAUGGAAAAGGGUUUGCUUGCAACUUUCAAGCACCACACUCAGCUUCCCUCUCUGCUAAAGGACAAUGUUUAAAUUUUUAACAAGGAAAGAUGUGAGAAAGAUUCUCAAGCGUAAAGACAGUGAUGCUGGUGAAAAAGGUACUCCCUCCCUCCUUAAGAAAUUUGGGAGUUGAGUUUCAAGUGGUUCACAUUUCUUCUCUUUUUUAGCUGGGAUUGCUUUUCAAGUUGUUUUUUUCUUGCAUAUUUUGUCAUUUGGGGUUAAAUGGUAUCUUGUGGUCUUUGAUUAGUGAUUGAUGAAGGUUGCAUUGCACAACAGAGCUUCUAGAUGUUCCUGCUCAUUGAUUCUUGGUUGUUUAGGCAUGCCAUUGUACUUCUGAGCCGGUUUUGUUCAAAUAAUUGAUUUGGUGGAUUGCAAUUUCGUUUCUGUGCAGAUAGUUUGAGAUUUAAUGCAUGCUUUGGUUUUUGAGACUUAAUGCAUGCUUUUGUUUUAAUUAAUUCUGGGAGAGCUGUUUUUUGCAUAUUUUUUAAAUUUCAAGUCUUAUUAGAACACUUAUUAAACAUAUUAAAUAUUUAAAUGUAGAAAGUUUUAAUGAAAAAUGUUAACUAACUGUAAGCUUCUUUUUUUUUAUGUUUUCCACUAUUUUAACCAAUUUCUUUAAAGGACUAUUUAGCUGAAUUAUUAAAAAAUCAGCACAUACAAAAAUGGUUCAUUUACUCUACCAUGUACUAUCAACAACCACUGGUUGUCUGAUUCUGUUAAUUCAAUGUAAGUUUUUUUCACACACACAUGCAUAGCAAGCUAGUGUU